GCCUGGAGAGAAUAUGACAAGUUAGAAUAUGAUGUGACUGUUACCAGGAACCAGAUGCAAGAUCAGCUUGAUCGCCUUGGAGAAGUGCAGAGUGAGUCGGCAGGAAUUCAACGGGCACAGAUUCAAAAAGAACUUUGGAGAAUUCAAGAUGUCAUGGAGGGGUUGAGCAAACACAAACAGCAAAGAGGCUCUUCAGAAACAGGUCUGGCAGGACCAAAGCCUUUCCCAGCAGUUAAGUACAAAAGCGAGCAGGGGCCCCGUGCAUCUGCCUGAAGAAAAGAAGAGUCACCAAGUUCAAGGAUAUCCAAGAAAUGGAUCUCACUGUGGUCCAGAUUAUAGACUCUACAAGAGCGAGCCAGAGUUGACCACAGUGGCAGAAGUUGAUGAAUCUAAUGGAGAAGAAAAAUCAGAGCCAGCUUCUGAGGCA
rnacentral:lncRNA from 1 species